GAUGAACGCUGGCGGCGUGCCUAAUACAUGCAAGUCGAGCGAAACUUCGAUAUCCCCGCUUCCCUGAAGUUACCGGCGGACGGUUGAGUAACAAGUGGAUAAGCUACCUGUAAGCCUGCGAUAACUACGAGAAGGAGAACACAAGACCACAGAUGCUUUUGCAGCACAAGGAUCAAUACUGCAUGACAGCCUUGUUGUCAGUUACUAUUCUACCGGCUUUGCAUUAGCUAGUUGGUAAGGUAAAGGCUUACCAAGGCAAGGAUGCGUAGCCGACUUGAGAGGGUGAUCGGCCACACUGGAACUGAGACACGGCCCAGACUCCUACGGGAGGCAGCAGUAGGGAAUCUUCCGCAAUGGGCGAAAGCCUGACGGAGCAACGCCGCGUGAGUGAUGAAGGUCUUCGGAUCGUAAAACUCUGUUGUUAGGGAAGAAAAUGUGUGAGAGUAACUGUGCACGUCUCGACGGUACCUAAUCAGAAAGCCACGGCUAACUACGUG
rnacentral:rRNA from 1 species